GUACUGAUGAAGAGUCCCGAAAAGGACGAAACAACUGUCCGGGAC
rnacentral:hammerhead_ribozyme from 1 species